rnacentral:rRNA from 1 species
UGGUGCAUGGCCGUUCUUAGUUGGUGGAGCGAUCUGUCUUGGUUAAUUCCGAUAACGAACGAGACCCUGGCCUACUAACUAGACGGCGGAUUCUUUCCGUCCGCCUCGUCUUCUUAGAGGGACAGGCACGCGCUUAGCUGCACGAAAUGGGGCAAAAACAGGUCUGUGAUGCCCAAUGAUGUUCUGGGCUGCACACGCGCUACACUGACGGAGGCAGCGUGUGUUCCCUGUCCGAAAGGACCGGGUAACCCGCUCAAUCUCCCUCGUGCUAGGGAUUGAGGCUUGCAAUUGUUUCUCAUGAACGAGGAAUUCCCAGUAAGUGCGAGUCAUCACCUCGCGCUGAUUACGUUCCUGCCCUUUGUACACACCGCCCGUCGCUACUACCGAUUGAAUGAUUUAGUGAGGACUUCGGACUGGUGUCCGGGGCGGCUCUCGGGUCGGUCCGGUGCGCCGGAAAGUUGUCCGAACUGUAUCAUUUAGAGGAAGUAAAAGUCGUAACAAGGUUUCCGUAGGUGAACCUGCGGAAGGAUCAUUA